rnacentral:lncRNA from 1 species
GAUCAUGGUAUUCAGAAGACAUUGCAACCCAAACACUUGGAACCAGAACUAAGCAUAAACUAUGCCAUCAUCACCAGUCUGAUGACAACGUUCCAUACCCCCUCACUCUUAGCGUCUCAUACUUGACUUUCUGCCAAGGUUGCAGAGUUGUAGAGUGGUGAGCUUUCAAAAUAUUAACUAUAAUAAACUCGAAUAACAUUAGGCAUGACUCAUUUACCAGAAGAAGCAGAAUUCAAUCAUUAUUAAUUAGUAUACUUCUAAUUAUCAACUUAUAAUAGAUGUUAUCCAAAGGCUAAUCUCAUAUAUUGAGUUGAAAUGUUAACCAAGAAUGCUGAUAAUAUAAAGGAUUUACUCACUUGUAAUCUUCAGCCAGAUUCCUGAGCUCAUAAAGCUGAAUUGAAAAUCCUCUCUCUUUUUCAAGCCUAGUGUUGAAGAUGCCAUGAUGACUUUGAACGAAAAAUUCAGCUUAGAGGCCUCCAACAGCACUUUACUUUUGCAAGCUUCCAGAAGAGAUAAAGAGCUACAAAAAUG